rnacentral:rRNA from 1 species
UACGGGGGGGGCAAGCGUUGUUCGGAAUUACUGGGCGUAAAGGGUUAGUAGGUGGCCAACUAAGUCAGACGUGAAAUCCCUCAGCUUAACUGGGGAACUGCGUCUGAGACUGAUUGGCUCGAGGACAGGAGAGGAACGCGGAAUUCCAGGUGUAGCGGUGAAAUGCGUAGAUAUCUGGAGGAACACCGGUGGCGAAGGCGGCGUUCUGGACUGUUUCUGACACUGAAUAACGAAAGCCAGGGGAGCGAACAGG